rnacentral:misc_RNA from 1 species
AGACGCCCAAGAUCAUUGCUUUCGAGAGUGUUUACAGCAUGUGCGGCAGCAUUGGUCCUAUCGAGGAGAUCUGCGACCUUGCUGACAAGUACGGCGCCUUGACUUUCCUCGAUGAAGUCCAUGCUGUCGGCAUGUACGGACCCAACGGUGCUGGUGUCGCCGAGCACUUGGACUACAACAUUUACGCCAACGGUGGAAACACCAAGGGCACGAUUAU